ACUGCUGCUGCUGCUGCUGCUGCUUUUAAAGAGCUGAAGAAUGAAGGCGCUGGACAACUGACGGUAUGACAGGAAACUCCAGUCUGCUGGCUGCAGUCCUGACUGUUGUGUCAGUGGUGUCACUGAGUAUACUGUCGCUUCUGUGUCUGCGAUGCAAGAGGAAAUCAAAGAUCAUCCAAGAGACAUCAAAUCAAAUAUAUGACCCACAGACAUU